rnacentral:lncRNA from 1 species
CAAAAGUCUACAUGACUUAACAAGCAAAAGAAAAAUAAAGUAAGAAAUGACCGACUACACUAUAUCUAGAUGGGUGACCGAACUAAGACCAACGUCGUAAAGGGUCUGUUCGAUCACAAGCUCAUUCUACAGCAGGAUCACCAUGUCCUUCAACUGAUGGAAGUCCUCUUGAUCACCGACCUCUACUCAGCUAUUGUCGUUGGGACUAGUUCGUGGAUCGCCCCAACGGAAAGGAAAACCCCAAAAA